rnacentral:rRNA from 1 species
CCUUCGCAUUUCAAAGAUAGAGCGGACGGGACCAGGAACAGCGCGGGGCCGAGGGGAAGGCUCGAUGGUGUCAACCCCGCUUUGGCUUUAAGCGUCCGAUCCCAAACGAGGCGCAGCACAGGUGUCAAGCGGCGGUGACUGCGGCCCUACGUCUCCAUGCCCGACGUCGAGGCGUUUUUCGGCCGCUGGAGGAGCAGCAGAGCUGGCGGUGGAGGCCGCGCGGGGGACCGCCGGAAGCGGCUGCUGUCGCUACUGCUACACCUCCGGCUGUAGGAGGCUGUCAGUAGUUUCUUUGCGCGGGAGCUCUUCCACCUCCUUGACGUCUUCUUCCGCUACCUCCUCCUAGGGAGCCACAAACGGAUACUACUCCACAUGCUACUAUACUUCCUCUUCCGGCGAGCCGGGUUCUAUGUCCGGUUCCAACAAGCGCUCAGUUUCAUGUAACUUCGUGAAUUCCUCUUUCGUCUUGUUGCUUUUGCUCUUGUCCUGUAUCACAUACUCUCCUUCGAAGUAUUUCUCUCCUCGUUCCUUCUAGUGGACAAACGACUGUUCCUGUUCAAACAUUGUAGACGGAUGUCCUUCUUUGAACUUCUCCUCUUCUUUACCGAUCUCCUUCUUUCUGCUGCCGUCGAAGUUCUUCUUUCCCUACUACAUUGAUUUUUCUUUCUGAACUCACUAAAAAUGAAACCCGAACGAUUCUUACAACGAAAGCCACGUGCCUGUGUACUCCCAUGUCUUUGAUGUCUUGGACUUUUCAACCUUUUAUUUCAUCUUCUAUAAGUUCCAUCGUUCAGACUGCGGCUUCGUAGGUCAGCAAGAGGAUUCGCGUCCUCCCUUAGGUCACAUCCUAGUCUCUUCCGAGUACCUUCAUCGUCACACCAUCUUGGAAGUUGAUGACCUAGUUUUCUAAGUUGUCGACAAUCUAGAUGACUCUUUCUCCGUCUAUAAAGAUGUAGACGAAGUGUCCGAGAGGUCUUAUGAGUUGGUCGUGGUUAGUGGCUGCUCGUGAUGUUCUCCUCAUUGCUGCGUGAACGGCGACGAUCUCUUGCUCGUGACCGAGCAUUCUCUCGCUUCCUCGUCGUUUAUACUUCUACGUAUAUAUUAGAGUUGUACGUUUUCGAAUUCCGACACAUUAUGAGGGAGGCAAGGAGUUAUAUUCCACAUAAUAAAAAGGUUUUUCAGUUAGAAGAGAUCCAAACUGGUUCAAAUAUCUGUUUUUAUAGUUAUAGAUCUUAUGGUUUAGUAAUAGUGAUCUAAGUAGUACUUGAUAUAAAAAUGUAAAAUAUAUAAAUCAUAAUAUUUGGAAAUAUAUAAAACGACAUUUCAACCAGUUUGUAUCUGUUGGCAACUGAAAAACCUUUUAAUUAUGUGGGAUAUAAAUCCUUGCCUCCCUCAUGAACUGUAAACAAAAGUUGAACGUUGUAAAAGUCACCUACUAAGUCACCUACUACGUGUGUAGAGAGAACGUACUUAUAUAAGUAAACCAACGACAUACUACCAAGUCGAAGAUACCAGUUUUAUAGACAUAUAGGUGUAUACUGUUCGUUCGUAUGAAUAGUCUUACCGGUAAGACGAUACGUAUUAGUCCUCUCCUCUCCAAUUACCUCGGGUAAUAUAAAUGACUUAAAAACACGACGGUUUUUUUCCUCUUUAUGGAACCGUGUCUGUCCGACUACCGUUAGACACGGGAAAACACACAAGGUGACAUUAGACAUUGAUACAUUACUAAGUUCGACCAUCAAUAAAUGACCAGCAACAACUUAGUUUCUAUAACUCUACUACAUACGGAAAGAGUUUAUUUUUUCUACAUACGUUUAAAAUCUAAAAGG